GAUGAACGCUGGCGGCGUGCCUAAUACAUGCAAGUCGAGCGAACAGACGAGGAGCUUGCUCCUCUGACGUUAGCGGCGGACGGGUGAGUAACACGUGGAUAACCUACCUAUAAGACUGGGAUAACUUCGGGAAACCGGAGCUAAUACCGGAUAAUAUAUUGAACCGCAUGGUUCAAUAGUGAAAGACGGUUUUGCUGUCACUUAUAGAUGGAUCCGCGCCGCAUUAGCUAGUUGGUAAGGUAACGGCUUACCAAGGCGACGAGGCGUAGCCGACCUGAGAGGGUGAUCGGCCACACUGGAACUGGGACACGGUCCAGGCUCCUACGGGAGGCAGCAGUAGGGAAUCUUCCGCAAUGGGCGGAAGCCUGACGGAGCAACGCCGCGUGAGUGAUGAAGGUCUUCGGAUCGUAAAACUCUGUUAUUAGGGAAGAACAAAUGUGUAAGUAACUAUGCACGUCUUGACGGUACCUAAUCAGAAAGCCACGGCUAACUACGUG
rnacentral:rRNA from 1 species